rnacentral:sRNA from 1 species
CUGAAGCGUGCUGGACUCAUGCUUCAAGAAGCAGAUAAACUGGGCUGCAAGCAGUUUGUUACUCCUGCAGAUGUGGUUUCAGGCAAUCCUAAACUUAAUUUAGCUUUUGUAGCUAAUUUGUUUAACACAUACCCAUGCCUGCACAAGCCGAAUAAUAAUGACAUCGAUAUGAAUUUACUGGAAGGAGAGAGCAAGGAAGAGAGAACAUUUCGGAACUGGAUGAAUUCCUUGGGAGUCAACCCAUACAUUAAUCAUUUGUACAGUGACCUUGCAGAUGCUUUAGUGAUCUUUCAGCUCUAUGAGAUGAUCCGAGUGCCAGUCAACUGGAGCCAUGUCAACAAACCUCCUUAUCCUGCCCUUGGAGGGAACAUGAAGAAGGUGAAUGAAAUAAUGGCCAUGGAUAUAUUGUUAUUGUUCUGAUAUGAAACAAAGAAUUUAGAGUUUCAUGAAGUUAAACGUGCUCUGUCCCCACAAUUCUGAUUCAGACCAAAAUGUGUUAAGCUUAAUAGCCUUUUUACAAGUUUGCUUUAAUAAAUUUAAAGAUGAAGGCAAUCCCUCUAGUCAGACACUUUAUAUAACUAUUUUCAUCUUUAUCAAGUCAUAGUACUUAAUGUUCUUUGAGAUGUCCUGUAAAUGUAUUCUUUUUUACAAUUGGUAUAACGUUCAGAAUGUUUAUUGGUUAUCCACUCAUUUAUUCAACAGAUAUUUAUCAAUUACCUAAUACCUAUACAGUGUUAUGCAGGAUGUA